CAGGCAAAGAGGAUCCCAAAAGAUUGCCAAAAACCUGGUGCCAGCUCUGACAGAUGGACAAAGCAUCUGCUCUCGGCUCUGAAGAGAGUUUUCUCAUCCAAGACCCUCAGUGAAAGACUGAACUCAUGAUUCUUCAGAAGCUUAAACGUGCUCUGUAAUCUCAAGUAUUUAAAACCAGAAGAAGUAGCCAACUGCUCAACAUCUUCAUUUCAUCUUGAGUUCUCACCAGGAAGACUUUUCUGAUUUGAAUCUAGACAAAGCAAGACUUAUCUUCAAAUCAGACCCAGCCUGAACUUGCCCUGAAGAUGUAUCAAAGUCCUGCAAAUGGCUCUACAUUUUCUGCAACUUGCGUCAUUUCGUAGAAUUGUGGUGAAUAUCCCCAGGGCAGAAG
rnacentral:lncRNA from 1 species